rnacentral:lncRNA from 8 species
GGAUAUGGAGGAGCAGGAGGGGCUGGGGCUGGAGGUACCUCACCGUAGUUAAUGGGCUAUAACUAUUAAAAUCAAUUCUGAUAUCUUUUAUUUAUUAACUCAAGUGUAUUCACCAGGAUAUAACCCUGCUGCGGCCAAAGCUGCUAAAUAUGGUAAGAAACAUCACUCUGAACGGCAACAUAAACUUUGGUGCAUUGGUUGAAUUUAUGGUAAACAUUUUGUCCAUUAUUGCUUUCUGACCCUCCACCAUAGGAGUUCCCGGAGGUGCAGGAGCAGGCCUAGGAGCUGGGGGAGCAGGAGGAGUACCAGGAGGAGGAGCAGGGGGUGUACCUGGGGCUGGAGGAUAUUAUCCCGCUGCGGCCAAAGCUGCUAAAUAUGGUAAGAUCACUCAAAACAGCAACAUCGGAGUUGGUACAUUGGUUGAAUUCAUGCUGACAUUUCUGGUUUUGAAAUCAUAUAAACCAUGUGACCACACAGGAGUUCCAGGAGGCCUAGGAACAGGCUUAGGAGGAGGAGGACUUGGAGGAGUACAGGGAGGAGUACCUGGAGGAGGAGCAGGGGGUGUACCUGGGGCUGGAGGAUAUAAUCCUGCUGCAGCCAAAGCUGCUAAAUAUGGUCAGGGGGCUGCUGGUGGGCCAGGGGGUGGAUAUGGUGGCGUGCCUGCUGGAGGAUAUCCCAGGCCUGGGGGCUAUGGGGGGUAUGGAGGGGCAGGAGCUGGAGGGUAUAAUCCUGCUGUGGCCAAAGCUGCUAAAUAUGGAGCUGGAGGAGCAGGCCUAGGAGCUGGAGGAGCAGGCCUAGGAGGAGCAGGAGGAGUACCAGGGCCUGGGGCUGGACCAGGAUAUGGAGGCUAUGGAGGAUAUGGAGGGGUACCAGCAGGAGGGGCUGCUGCUGCGGCCAAAGCUGCUAAAUAUGGUACAUUAUUCUCUCCAUGAUUUAGAAAAAUGUAUUGCCUAACCUUUGUAUUAAUAUACUGUACUGGGCCUCCCGAGUGGUGCAGCAGUCUAAGGUACUACAUCACAGUGCUUGAGGCGUCACUACAGACCUAGGUUCGAUCCCAGGCUGUGUCACAGCCGGCCGUCACCGGGAGACCCAUGAGGCAGUGCACAAUUGGCCCAGCGUCGUCUGCGUUAGGGGAGGUUUUGGCAGGCCAGGAUAUCCUUGUCCCAUCGCACUCUAGCAACUCCUUGUGGCUGGCCAGGCGUGACUACGGUCGCCAGGUGUACAGUGUUUUCUCCGACACAUUGGUGCGUCUGGCUUCCGGGUUAAGCGAGCAUUGUCAAGAAAGAGAGCGGCACGGCAGGGUUGUGUUUCGGAGGACGCAUGGCUCUCGACCUUCGCCUCUCCCUAGUCCGUACGGGAAUUUCAGCGAUGGGACAAGACUGUAACUACCAAUUGGAUACCACGAAAUUGGGGAGAAAAAGGGGUAAAAAUAUACAGUACCAGUCAAAAGUUUGGAAACACUUACAAAUUCAAGGGUUUUUCUUUAUUUUUACAAUUUUCUACAUUGUAGAAAAAUAGUGAAGACAUCAAAACUAUGAAAUAACAAAUAUGGAAUCAUGUAGUAACCAUAAAAGUGUUAAAUCCUUUUCUUUUUAGAUUCCUCAAAGUAGCCACCCUUUGCCUUGAUGACAGCUUUCCACACUCUUGGCAUUCUCUCAACCAGCUUCAUCAGGUAGUCAACAGGAAUGCUUUUCCAACAGUCUUGAAGGAGUUCCCACAUAUACUGAGCACUUGUUGGCUGCUGUUCCUUCACUCUGCAGUCCAACUCAUCCCAAACCAUCUCAAUUGGGUUGAGGUUGGGUGAUUGUGGAGGCCAGGUCAAAUCAAAUCAAAUGUACUUAUAAAGCCCUUUUUACAUCAGCCGAUAUCACAAAGUGCUGUACAGAAACCCAGCCUAAAACCCCAAACAGAAAGCAAUGCAGAUAUAGAAGCAUGGUGGCUAAGAAAAAACUCCCUAGAAAGGCCGGAACAGAGGAAGAAACCUAGAGAGGAACCGGGCUCUGAGGGGUGGCCAUUUCUCUUCUGGCUGUGAAGGGUGAAGAUUAUAACAGUACAUGGCCAAGAUGUUAAUAUGUUCAUAGAUGACCAGCAGGGUCAGAUAAUAAUAAUCACAGUGGUUGUAGAGGGUGCAACAGGUCAGCACCUCAGGAGAAAAUGUCAGUUGGCUUUUCAUAACCGAUCCUUCAGUUAGAGACAACAGGUGCAGUAAAGAGAGAGUCCAAUGCAGCAGGUCCGGGACAAGGUAGCAUGUCCGGUGAAGAGGUCAGGGUUCCAUAGCCGCAGGCAGAACAGUUGGGACUGGGGACAGCAAGGAGUCAUCAGGCCAGGUAGUCCUGAGGCAUGGUCCUAGGGCUUAGGUCCUCCGAGAGAGAAAAAGAUAGAGAGAAUUAGAGGGAGCAUACUUAAAUUCACACAGGACACCGGAUAAGACAGGAGAAAUACUCCAGAUUUAACAAACUGACCCUAGCCCCCCGAGACAUAAACUACUACAGCAUAAAUACUGGAGGCUGAGACAGGAGGGGUCGGGAGACACUGUGGCCCUGUCCGACGAUACCCCCGGACAGGGCCAAACAGGCAGGAUAUAACCCAACCAACUUUGCCAAAGCACAGCCCCCACACCACUAGAGGGAUACCUUCAACCACCAACUUACUACCCUGAGACAAGGCCGAAAAUAGCCCACGAAGAUCUCCCCCACGGCACGAACCCAAGGGGGCCGUCAACCCGGACAGGAAGAUCACAUCAGUGACUCAACACACUCAAGUGACGCACCCCUGAUGCAGCACUCCAUCACUCUCCUUCUUGGUCAAAUAGCGCUUGAUGGUUUUUCCGACUGCACUUGAAGAAACUUUAAAAGUUCUUGAAAUUUUCUGAAUUGACUGACCUUCAUGUCUUAAAGUAAUGAUAGACUGUCGUUUCUCUUUGCUUAUUUGAGCUGUUCUUGCCAUAAUAUGGACUUGGUAUUUGACCAAAUAGGGCUAUCUUCUGUAUACCAACGCUACAUUGUCACAACACAACUGAUUGGCUCAAACACAUUAAGAAGGAAAGAUAUUCCACAAAUUAACUUUUAACAAAGCACACAUGUUAAUUGAAAUGCAUUCCAGGUGACUACUUCAUGAAGCUGGUUGAGAGAAUGCCAAGAGUGUCCAAAGCUGUCAUCAAGGCAAAGGGUGGCUACUUUGAAGAAUGUAAAAUAUAAAAUAUGCACUUUUUUGAUUACUACAUGAUUCCAUGUGUUAUUUCCUCAUUUUGAUGUCUUCACUACUUUUCUACAAUGUAGAAAAUAGUAAAAAUAAAUUAAAAACCCUUGAAUGAGUAGGUGUGUCCAAACCUUUGACUGAUACAGUUGAAGUCGGAAGUUUAAAUCUUUAUUUCACCUUUAUUGAACCAGGUAGGCUAGUUGAGAACAAGUUCUCAUUCACAACUGCGACCUGGCCAAGAUAAAGCAAAGCAGUUCGACACAUACAACAACACAGAGUUACACAUGGAAUAAACAAACAUACAGUCAAUGAUACAAUAGAAUGUCUAUAUACAGUGCAAAAAUUGUAGACCUCACAAGUCUUGUUCAUCCUUGGGAGCAAUUUCCAAAUGCCAUGAAAGUACCCCAUUCAUCUGUACAAACAAUAGUACGCAUGUCACGUCCUGACCAGCAUAGGGUGUAGUUGUGUAGUAUUUUGGUCAGGACGUGGCAGAAGAUGUCUGUGUAUAUUUGUUCUGGGUGUUGUGUUUCUAUGUUGGUCUGUGUGGCUCCCGAUCAGGGACAGCUGGUUAUUGUUGUUCCUGAUUGGGAGUCAUAUAUUUAGGAGUAUGUUUGUCACUUGGAUUUGUGGGUGGUUGUGUUAACACUGCUAUGAUUUUGUAAGUAGCCUGUUAGCCUGUCUGGAGUCGUUCGUGUUUAUUGUUUUCUGUGUAUACUUUGCUCUAAAAUAUUAAAAAGAUGAGUAUCCACAUCCCCCUUGCAUUUUGGUCAUCCAUUCCCAACGGAAGCCGUGACAACGCAAGUAUAAACACCAUGGGACCACACAGCCGUCAUACCGCUCAGGAAGGAGACGCGUUCUGUCUUCUAGAGAUGAACGUACUUUGGUGCGAAAAGUGCAAAUCAGUCCCAGAACAAUAGCAAAGGACCUUGUGAAGAUGCUGGAGGAAACAGGUACAAAAGUAUCUAUAUCCACAGCAAAACGAGUCCUAUAUCGACAUAACCUGAAAGGCCGCCUCAGCAAGGAAGAAGCCACUGCUCCAAAACCGCCAUAAAAAAGCCAGACUACAGUUUCCAACUGCACAUGAGGACAAAGAUCAUACUUUUUGGAGAAAUGUUCUCUGGUCUGAUGAAACAAAAAUAGAACUGUUUGGCCAUAAUGACCAUGGUUAUGUUUGGAGGGAAAAGGGGGAGGCUUGCAAGCCGAAGAACACCAUCCCAACCAUGAAGCAUGGGGGUGGCAGCAUCAUGUUGUGGGGGUGCUUUGCUGCAGGAGGGAUUGGUGCACUUCACAAAAUAGAUGGCGUCAUGAGGAGGGAACAUUAUGUGGAUGUAUUGAAGCAACAUCUCAAGACAUCUGUCAGGAAGUUAAAGCUUGGUAGCAAAUGGGUCUUCCAAAUGGACAAUGACCCCAAGCAUACUUCCAAUGUUGUGGCAAAAUGGAUUAAGGACAACAAAGUCAAGGAAUUGGAGUGGCCAUCACAAAGCCCUGACCUCAAUCCUAUAGAGAAUGUGUGGGCAGAACUGAAAAAGCGUGUGCGAUCAAGGAGGCCUACAAACCUGGGCCAAAAUUCACCCAACUUAUUGUGGGAAGCUUGUGGAAGGCUACCUGAAAUGUUUGACCCAAGUUAAACAAUUUAAAGGCAAUGCUACCAAUUACUAAUUUAGUGUAUGUAAACUUCUGACCCACUGGGAAUAUGAUGAAAGAAAUAAAAGCUGAAAUAAAUCAUUCUCUCUACUAUUAUUCUGACAUUUCACAUUCUUAAAAUAAAGUGGUGACCCUA